AAAGAGAGUGGGAGGCAUGCCUAACACAUGCAAGUCGAACGAGACCUUCGGGUCUAGUGGCGCACGGGUGCGUAACGCGUGGGAACCUGCCCUUAGGUUCGGAAUAACUCCCCGAAAGGGGUGCUAAUACCGGAUAAUGUCUUCGGACCAAAGAUUUAUCGCCUUUGGAUGGGCCCGCGUUGGAUUAGCUAGUUGGUAGGGUAAAAGCCUACCAAGGCGACGAUCCAUAGCUGGUCUGAGAGGAUGAUCAGCCACACUGGGACUGAGACACGGCCCAGACUCCUACGGGAGGCAGCAGUGGGGAAUAUUGGACAAUGGGCGAAAGCCUGAUCCAGCAAUGCCGCGUGAGUGAUGAAGGCCUUAGGGUUGUAAAGCUCUUUUACCCGGGAUGAUAAUGACAGUACCGGGAGAAUAAGCUCCGGCUAACUCCGUG
rnacentral:rRNA from 1 species